CACGUAGGGGGCAAGCGUUGUCCGGAAUUAUUGGGCGUAAAGAGCUCGUAGGCGGUUUGUCGCGUCUGCUGUGAAAACUCGGGGCUUAACUCCGGGCCUGCAGUGGGUACGGGCAGACUAGAGUGCGGUAGGGGAGACUGGAAUUCCUGGUGUAGCGGUGAAAUGCGCAGAUAUCAGGAGGAACACCGGUGGCGAAGGCGGGUCUCUGGGCCGUAACUGACGCUGAGGAGCGAAAGCGUGGGGAGCGAACAGG
rnacentral:rRNA from 1 species